UGAAAUAGGAUCUCACUAAGUUGACCAGGAUGGCCUCCAACUUGUGAUCCUCCUGCCUACCUUCCCAAGAGGCUGGAAUUACACUCUUAUUUCUUCUUCACAAUUAUCCAAUCGGGUCCCUAGCGGAGACAAAAGAAGCAGAAGGAACUCCUAUGAACUUCAGAAUGAACCACAUUUUCCUGAAAGCUGGCUCUGCCACAUAUUGGAUACACAACCUCAG